rnacentral:lncRNA from 1 species
AAAAGCGCCUUCAGAGCUUGUUGGUUUUAUUUUUAUUUUUAUUUUUAUAUGUUUAUAAAUUAAGCCAAUAAUAUACAAAUUGAUUUAUGAAUUAGAGGAAGUUCAGUGAGUGGCCUACUUAUGUGUUGAGUAUGAACUAUUCUAAGAAUUGGGAAAGUUGAAAAGUUCAUACUUAAGAGCUUGUGAACAAUGGUGAGCAUAUAACUAACAUGAGAACUAGAAUUGUUUUGUAAUUACAUUGAAAGAACUACGUGUGAAUUGAUCCUUUGUUAAAGGUACGUAGGCAACCUAGAGUUACUAGGUGCAGCCACAAGAUUAAGUGCUUAAAGUUUGUUUGGUUAAGUUAUUUUGGAACUUGAUAAUGUAUUUAUGUUGUUCUAAGAGUUGAGACUAGUUUCAAUUGACAAAAUGAUUUAUUUAGUAUAAGGAGGCCUGGGGCCAUAAGGAUUUGAUGUUUGCC